UUUCCGUAGGUGAACCUGCGGAAGGAUCAUUACAGUGUUCCCUGCCCUUCGGGGUAGGAUCGCCACCCUUGAUUAUUUAUGAGUGUUGCUUUGGCGGGCCUCGCGGCCUGGCCGCGCCCCGGCUUCGGCGGGGGAGCGCCCGCCAGAGGAUUCUACAAACCUGAUUAUUAGUGUCGUCUGAGUACUAUAUAAUAGUUAAAACUUUCAACAACGGAUCUCUUGGUUCUGGCAUUGAUGAAGAACGCAGC
rnacentral:misc_RNA from 1 species